CCUACGGGAGGCAGCAGUGGGGAAUAUUGCGCAAUGGGGGAAACCCUGAUGCAGCAACGCCGCGUGAGUGAAGAAGUAUCUCGGUAUGUAAAGCUCUAUCAGCGGGGAAGAAGGAAGACGGUACCCGACUAGUAAGCCCCGCCUAACUACGUGCCAGCAGCCGCGGUAAUACGUAGGGGGCGAGCGUUAUCCGGAUUUCCUGGGUGUAACGGGAGCGUAGACGGCGUCGCAAGUCUGAAGUGAAAGCCCGUGGCUCAACAGCGGAACCGCUUUGGAAACUGCGAGGAUGGAGUGCUGGAGAGGUAAGCGGAAGUCCUGGGGUAGCGGUGAAAUGCGUAGAUAUCAGGAGGAACACCGGUGGCGAAGGCGGCUUACUGGACAGUGACUGACGUUGAGGCUCGAAAGCGUGGGGAGCGAACAGGAUUAGAUACCCGUGUAGUC
rnacentral:rRNA from 1 species